CUCUAUCGAAUAUUGAUUAUAACAUUGUUUAUUUGUGUUUCAUUUUUUAUUUUAAAAUUAAAAAAAUUUUUUCCAGAGACAGAGUUUUGGUCUGUCGCCCAGGCUGGAGUGCAGUGGGGUGAUACUAGCUCACUGAAGCCUUCACCUUCUGGGCUCUAGAUACUCUCUGCCUCAGCCUCCUGAGUAGUUGGGACUACAGGCAUGAGCCACCAUGCCCAGCCCGAAACUUCAUUUUUUCUAAAGAAACCACAUUGAUGCUGAUGACGUAAAAAUCGUUGGAAUGGCCGCGCGCGGUGGCUCACGCCUGUAAUCCUAGCACU
rnacentral:lncRNA from 1 species